rnacentral:rRNA from 1 species
UACGUAGGGUGCGAGCGUUGUCCGGAAUUACUGGGCGUAAAGAGCUCGUAGGCGGUUUGUCGCGUCGGGAGUGAAAACCCUCGGGCUUAACUCGGGGCUUGCUUUCGAUACGGGGCAGACUAGAGGUAUGCAGGGGAGAACGGAAUUCCUGGUGUAGCGGUGAAAUGCGCAGAUAUCAGGAGGAACACCGGUGGCGAAGGCGGUUCUCUGGGCAUGAUCUGACGCUGAGGAGCGAAAGUGUGGGAGGCGAACAGG